rnacentral:misc_RNA from 1 species
GAUGAAGAACGUAGCGAAAUGCGAUAAGUAAUGUGAAUUGCAGAAUUCAGUGAAUCAUCGAAUCUUUGAACGCACAUUGCGCCCGCCAGCACUCUGGCGGGCAUGCCUGUUCGAGCGUCAUUUCAACCAUCAAGCCCCCAGGGCUUGUGCUGGGGCCCUGCGGCUGCCCGCAGGCCCUGAAAACCAGUGGCGGGCUCGCUAGUCACACCGAGCGCAGUAGCACAUCUCGCUCAGGGCGUGCGGCGGGCUCCUGCCGUGAAACCCCCCACUGUAACCCCAAAGGUUGACCUCGGAUCAGGUAGGAAUACCCGCUGAACUUAAGCAUAUCAAUAAGCGGAGGA